ACAUGCCUACAACAUAAUGUUAAUGCACUAGAUCCCAUUAGAACUCCGCAGUUAAGUGCGCUCAAGCUAGAGUAGUACCGGGAUGGGUGACCACCCGGGAAGUCCUAGUGUUUUACAUGAC
rnacentral:rRNA from 1 species